rnacentral:rRNA from 1 species
UAAUACGGAGGGUGCGAGCGUUAUCCGGAAUUAUUGGGUUUAAAGGGUCCGUAGGCGGUCUAUUAAGUCAGAGGUGAAAUCUUGUAGCUCAACUAUAAAAUUGCCUUUGAAACUAUUAGACUUGAAACAAUUUGACGUGAGUGGAAUGAGUAGUGUAGCGGUGAAAUGCAUAGAUAUUACUCAGAACACCAACAGCGAAGGCAGCUCACGAAGAUUGAUUUGACGCUGAUGGACGAAAGCGUGGGUAGCGAACAGGAUUAGAUACCCUGGUAGUCCACGCCGUAAACGAUGAUAACUGGACCUUGGUGUUUACAUCAGAGUCUGAGCGAAAGUAUUAAGUUAUCCACCUGGGGAGUACGUUCGCAAGAAUG